rnacentral:rRNA from 1 species
UAUGGAGGGUGCAAGCGUUAUCCGGAUUCACUGGGUUUAAAGGGUGCGUAGGAGGGCAGGUAAGUCAGUGGUGAAAUCUUCGAGCUUAACUCGGAAACUGCCGUUGAUACUAUCUGUCUUGAAUACCGUGGAGAUGAGCGGAAUAUGUCAUGUAGCGGUGAAAUGCUUAGAUAUGACAUAGAACACCAAUUGCGAAGGCAGCUCGUUACACGAAUAUUGACUCUGAGGCACGAAAGCGUGGGGAUCAAACAGG